rnacentral:rRNA from 1 species
UACGGGGGAUGCAAGCGUUAUCCGGAAUCAUUGGGCGUAAAGCGCCUGUAGGUUGUUUAAUAAGUCUGUUGUUAAAGACUAGGGCUCAACCCUAGAAAAGCAAUGGAAACUACUAGACUAGAGUAUGGCAGGGGUAGAGGGAAUUUCUAGUGUAGCGGUGAAAUGCGUAGAUAUUAGAAAGAACACCGGUGGCGAAAGCGCUCUACUGGACCAUUACUGACACUCAGAGGCGAAAGCUAGGGUAGCAAAAGGGAUUAGAUACCCCUGUAGUCCUAGCCGUAAACGAUGGAUACUACAUGUUGUGCAUAUGUACAGUAUGGUAGCUAACGCGUUAAGUAUCCCGCCUGGGGAGUACGCCCGCAAGGGUG